AUUGAACGCUGGCGGCAUGCUUUACACAUGCAAGUCGAACGGCAGCGCGGGCUUCGGCCUGGCGGCGAGUGGCGAACGGGUGAGUAAUGCAUCGGAACGUGCCCAGUAGUGGGGGAUAGCCCGGCGAAAGCCGGAUUAAUACCGCAUACGACCUGAGGGUGAAAGCGGGGGACCGAAAGGCCUCGCGCUAUUGGAGCGGCCGAUGUCGGAUUAGCUAGUUGGUGGGGUAAAGGCUUACCAAGGCGACGAUCCGUAGCUGGUCUGAGAGGACGACCAGCCAAAAGGGGAACUGGACACGGGCCCAGCCCCCUAGGGGGGGCAGAGGGGGGAAUUUUGGAAAAAGGGGGGCAACCCGAGCCCAGCCCGCCCGGGGGGGGAAAAAGGGCUUUGGGGUGGAAAACCGUUUUUGUUGGGAAAAAAAGCAGUUGGGUAAAACCCCCGGGGGGAGAAGGUAACCGGAAAAAAAACCACGGGCAAACUACGG
rnacentral:rRNA from 1 species